CCCAGACUCCUACGGGAGGCAGCAGUGGGGAAUAUUGCACAAUGGGGGAAACCCUGAUGCAGCAACGCCGCGUGAGUGAAGAAGUCAUUCGUGAUGUAAAGCUCUAUCAGCAGGGAAGAAAAUGACGGUACCUGAGUAAGAAGCCCCGGCUAACUACGUGCCAGCAGCCGCGGUAAUACGUAGGGAGCAAGCGUUAUCCGGAUUUAUUGGGUGUAAAGGGUGCGUAGACGGAGAAGCAAGUUAGUUGUGAAAUCCCUCGGCUUAACUGAGGAACUGCAACUAAAACUACUUCCCUUGAGUACUGGAGAGGAAAGUGGAAUUCCUAGCGUAGCGGUGAAAUGCGUAGAUAUUAGGAGGAACACCAGUGGCGAAGGCGACUUUCUGGACAGUAACUGACGUUGAGGCACGAAAGCGUGGGGAGCAAACAGGAUUAGAUACCCCAGUA
rnacentral:rRNA from 1 species